UCCGGGGCGACCCUGCAUUCGGGCGGGGGCUCCGGGUGGACACUUCAAACUCUUGCGUAACUUUGCAGUCUGAGUAAACUUAAUUAAUAAAUUAAAACUUUUAACAACGGAUCUCUUGGUUCUGGCAUCGAUGAAGAACGCAGCGAAAUGCGAUAAGUAAUGUGAAUUGCAGAAUUCAGUGAAUCAUCGAAUCUUUGAACGCACAUUGCGCCCCCUGGUAUUCCGGGGGGCAUGCCUGUUCGAGCGUCAUUUCACCACUCAAGCCUCGCUUGGUAUUGGGCAACGCGGUCCGCCGCGUGCCUCAAAUCGACCGGCUGGGUCUUCUGUCCCCUAAGCGUUGUGGAAACUAUUCGCUAAAGGGUGUUCGGGAGGCUACGCCGUAAAACAACCCCAUUUCUAAGGUUGACCUCGGAUCAGGUAGGGAUACCCGCUGAACUUAAGCAUAUCAAUAAGCGGAGGAA
rnacentral:rRNA from 1 species